UACGUAGGGUGCGAGCGUUGUCCGGAAUUAUUGGGCGUAAAGGGCUCGUAGGCGGUUUGUCGCGUCGGGAGUGAAAACCAUGGGCCUAACUCAUGGCUUGCUUCCGAUACGGGCAGACUAGAGGCAUGCAGGGGAGAACGGAAUUCCUGGUGUAGCGGUGAAAUGCGCAGAUAUCAGGAGGAACACCGGUGGCGAAGGCGGUUCUCUGGGCAUGUCCUGACGCUGAGGAGCGAAAGUGUGGGGAGCAAACAGG
rnacentral:rRNA from 1 species